rnacentral:rRNA from 1 species
AAAUUGAAGAGUUUGAUCAUGGCUCAGAUUGAACGCUGGCGGCAGGCCUAACACAUGCAAGUCGAACGGUAACAGGAAGAAGCUUGCUUCUUUGCUGACGAGUGGCGGACGGGUGAGUAAUGUCUGGGAAACUGCCUGAUGGAGGGGGAUAACUACUGGAAACGGUAGCUAAUACCGCAUAACGUCGCAAGACCAAAGAGGGGGAGCUUCGGGCCUCUUGCCAUCGGAUGUGCCCAGAUGGGAUUAGCUAGUAGGUGGGGUAACGGCUCACCUAGGCGACGAUCCCUAGCUGGUCUGAGAGGAUGACCAGCCACACUGGAACUGAGACACGGUCCAGACUCCUACGGGAGGCAGCAGUGGGGAAUAUUGCACAAUGGGCGCAAGCCUGAUGCAGCCAUGCCGCGUGUAUGAAGAAGGCCUUCGGGUUGUAAAGUACUUUCAGCGGGGAGGAAGGGAGUAAAGUUAAUACCUUUGCUCAUUGACGUUACCC